GCGAAAGUCGGAUUAAUACCCGUAUGUUGUUCAAUGAGGUACAUCUGAGCUGAACUAAGAUUUAUCGCUAAGGGAUGGGGAUGCGUCUGAUUAGCUUGUCGGCGGGGUAACGGCCCACCGAGGCAACGAUCAGUAGGGGUUCUGAGAGGAAGGUCCCCACAUUGGUACUGAGACACGGACCAAACUCCUACGGGAGGCAGCAGUGAGGAAUAUUGGUCAAUGGACGCGAGUCUGAACCAGCCAAGUAGCGUGCAGGAUGACUGCCCUAUGGGUUGUAAACUGCUUUUUAUGCGGGGAAUAAAGUGCACUACGCGUAGUGUUUUGUAUGUACCGCAUGAAUAAGGACCGGCUAAUUCCGUGCC
rnacentral:rRNA from 1 species